CGAAGAUCCACAUCAGUUUCGCGUCACAGAUCACCCUCUCCUAUGCGGCGUAGAUUGCGUUCUCCAGGGCGACGCAGAUCACAAACUCCUGUGCGACGUAGAUCUCCACGCAGGUCACCACCUGGAUGGCGUAGAUCCCGUUCACCUGGACGACGCAGAUCCCGUUCACCUGGACGACGCAGAUCCCGUUCUCCUGGGCGACGCAGAUCCCGUUCUCCUGGGCGACGUAGAUCCCGUUCUCCUGGGCGACGUAGAUCUCCAUCUCCUUUGCGGCGUAGAUCUCUAUCACCUGCAUGGCGUGGAUCCCCCCCUCCUUUGAGGCGCAGAUCACCAACGCCGAAACGACGUAGGUCACCAACUUAUAAGUUAC
rnacentral:lncRNA from 1 species